rnacentral:rRNA from 1 species
UAAUCACUUUAUCAUUACUUUGAAUAAAAUAGAGUGUUUAAAGCAAAACAUUAAGUUAAUGAAUAUUCAAGCAUGGGACAAUGCUGAGGGGAUGUCUUCGGACAUUUCGAGAGAAGGAUUAAAAGGAACAAUUGGGGUGAUUCAGAAAAUAACGGGAGAGGUGAAAUUCCAUGAUCGCUAUAAGAUGCACGAGAGCGAAAGCAUUUCACUCAACUGGGUCCAUUAAUCAAGAACGAAAGUUAGGGGAUCGAAGACGAUCAGAUACCGUCGUAGUCCUAACUAUAAACGAUGUCAACCAAGGAUUGGAUGAAAUAAAGAAAUUCGCGGAUGAAGAAACAUUGUUUCGGAAACCAAGAGUUUCACAACUACCUUGUUCAGAACUUAAAGAGAAAUCUCGAGUUUAUGGACUUCAGGGGGAGUAUGGUCACAAGGCUGAAACUUAAAGGAAUUGACGGAAGGGCACACCAGGAGUGGAGCCUGCGGCUUAAUUUGACUCAACACGGGAAAACUUACCAAGACCGAACAGUAGAAGGAAUGACAGAUUAAGAGUUCUUUCAUGAUUUAUUGGGUAGUGGUGCAUGGCCGUUCUUAGUUGGUGGAGUGAUUUGUCAGGUUAAUUCCGGUAACGAACGAGACUGAAACCUAUUAAUUAGUUUCCUGCCUAUACGACAGGAAUCUCCGCAAGGUCAGGUGCCUCGGUACCACUUCUUAAAGGAACACAUUUCAAUUGUCU